CGUGCCAGCAGCCGCGGUAAUACGUAGGUGGCAAGCGUUGUCCGGAUUUAUUGGGCGUAAAGCGAGCGCAGGCGGUUUCUUAAGUCUGAUGUGAAAGCCUUCGGCUCAACCGAAGAAGUGCAUCGGAAACUGGGAAACUUGAGUGCAGAAGAGGACAGUGGAACUCCAUGUGUAGCGGUGAAAUGCGUAGAUAUAUGGAAGAACACCAGUGGCGAAGGCGGCUGUCUGGUCUGUAACUGACGCUGAGGCUCGAAAGCAUGGGUAGCAAACAGGAUUAGAUACCCUGGUAGUCCAUGCCGUAAACGAUGAGUGCUAGGUGUUGGAGGGUUUCCGCCCUUCAGUGCCGCAGCUAACGCAUUAAGCACUCCGCCUGGGGAGUACGACCGCAAGGUUGAAACUCAAAGGAAUUGACGGGGGCCCGCACAAGCGGUGGAGCAUGUGGUUUAAUUCGAAGCAACGCGAAGAACCUUACCAGGUCUUGACAUCCUUUGACCACUCUAGAGAUAGAGCUUUCCCUUCGGGGACAAAGUGACAGGUGGUGCAUGGUUGUCGUCAGCUCGUGUCGUGAGAUGUUGGGUUAAGUCCCGCAACGAGCGCAACCCUUAUUACUAGUUGCCAGCAUUUAGUUGGGCACUCUAGUGAGACUGCCGGUGACAAACCGGAGGAAGGUGGGGACGACGUCAAAUCAUCAUGCCCCUUAUGACCUGGGCUACACACGUGCUACAAUGGAUGGUACAACGAGUUGCGAGA
rnacentral:rRNA from 2 species